rnacentral:rRNA from 1 species
UACGGAGGAUCCGAGCGUUAUCCGGAUUUAUUGGGCUUAAAGGGUGCGUAGGCGGCCUGUUAAGUCAGGGGUGAAAGACGGUAGCUCAACUAUCGCAGUGCCCUUGAUACUGAUGGGCUUGAAUAUACUAGAGGUAGGCGGAAUGUGACAAGUAGCGGUGAAAUGCAUAGAUAUGUCACAGAACACCAAUUGCGAAGGCAGCUUACUAUGGUAUGAUUGACGCUGAGGCACGAAAGCGUGGGGAUCAAGCAGG